GCCUAAUACAUGCAAGUCGAGCGCGGGAAGCGAGUGGAUCCCUUCGGGGUGAAGCUCGUGGAACGAGCGGCGGACGGGUGAGUAACACGUGGGCAACCUGCCUGUAAGAUCGGAAUAACCCCGGGAAACCGGGGCUAAUGCCGGGUAAUACUUUUCUUCGCAUGAAGAUAAGUUGAAAGAUGGCUUCUCGCUAUCACUUACAGAUGGGCCCGCGGCGCAUUAGCUAGUUGGUGAGGUAACGGCUCACCAAGGCAACGAUGCGUAGCCGACCUGAGAGGGUGAUCGGCCACACUGGGACUGAGACACGGCCCAGACUCCUACGGGAGGCAGCAGUAGGGAAUCUUCCGCAAUGGACGAAAGUCUGACGGAGCAACGCCGCGUGAACGAUGAAGGUCUUCGGAUCGUAAAGUUCUGUUGUCAGGGAAGAACAAGUACCGUGCGAAUAGAGCGGUACCUUGACGGUACCUGACGAGGAAGCCCCGGCUAACUACGUGCCAGCAGCCGCGGUAAUACGUAGGGGGCAAGCGUUGUCCGGAAUUAUUGGGCGUAAAGCGCGCGCAGGCGGUUCCUUAAGUCUGAUGUGAAAGCCCACGGCUCAACCGUGGAGGGUCAUUGGAAACUGGGGAACUUGAGGACAGAAGAGGAGAGUGGAAUUCCACGUGUAGCGGUGAAAUGCGUAGAUAUGUGGAGGAACACCAGUGGCGAAGGCGACUCUCUGGUCUGUUUCUGACGCUGAGGUGCGAAAGCGUGGGUAGCAAACAGGAUUAGAUACCCUGGUAGUCCACGCCGUAAACGAUGAG
rnacentral:rRNA from 1 species